rnacentral:rRNA from 1 species
UACGGAGGGUGCAAGCGUUGUCCGGAUUUACUGGGCGUAAAGGGAGCGUAGGUGGAUAUUUAAGUGGGAUGUGAAAUACUCGGGCUUAACCUGGGUGCUGCAUUCCAAACUGGAUAUCUAGAGUGCAGGAGAGGAAGGCGGAAUUCCUAGUGUAGCGGUGAAAUGCGUAGAGAUUAGGAAGAAUACCAGUGGCGAAGGCGACUUUCUGGACUGUAACUGACACUGAGGCAUGAAAGCGUGGGGAGCAAAC